rnacentral:rRNA from 1 species
GAUUCCGGAGAGGGAGCCUGAGAAACGGCUACCACUUCUAAGGAAGGCAGCAGGUGCGCAAAUUACCCAAUGGUCGAUGACCGAGGUAGUGACGAAAAAUAACGAUACCGGACUCAUUUGAGGCCCGGUAAUUGGAAUGAGUACACUUUAANUCCUUUAACGAGGAACAAUUGGAGGGCAAGUCUGGUGCCAGCAGCCGCGGUAAUUCCAGCUCCAAUAGCGUAUAUUAAAGUUGUUGCGGUUAANAAGCUCGUAGUUGGAUCUCGGCGGGCAGGGGGUGGCUCGGUGUAUGCCGUUGCUGCCCCAUUUGCUCGUGUUUUUGACGGAGGCUCCGGGUUGCCCUUUAUUGUGAGUGUCUGGUGCGCCGUCAGGUUUACUUUGAAAAAAUUAGAGUGCUCAAAGCAGGCUUUACACGCUUGAAUAUUCGUGCAUGGAAUAAUGGAAUAGGAAGUCGUUCCUAUUUUGUUGGUNUUCGGGAAUUGACUUAAUGAUUAAUAGGGACAGCCGGGGGCAUUAGUAUUCAGACGACAGAGGUGAAAUUCUUGGACCGUCUGAAGACUAACUACUGCGAAAGCAUUUGCCAAGAGUGUUUUCAUUAAUCAAGAACGAAAGUUAGAGGUUCGAAGGCGAUCAGAUACCGCCCUAGUUCUAACCAUAAACGAUGCCAGCUAGCGAUCCGCAGGUGUUACUUAAGGCCCUGCGGGAAGCUUCCGGGAAACCAAAGCUUUUGGGUUCCGGGGGAAGUAUGGUUGCAAAGCUGAAACUUAAAGGAAUUGACGGAAGGGCACCACCAGGAGUGGAGCCUGCGGCUUAAUUUGACUCAACACGGGAAAUCUCACCAGGCCCGGACACUGGAAGGAUUGACAGAUUGAGAGCUCUUUCUCGAUUCAGUGGGUGGUGGUGCAUGGCCGUUCUUAGUUGGUGGAGUGAUUUGUCUGGUUAAUUCCGAUAACGAACGAGACUCUGUCCUGCUAAAUAGUCGCAACGUCUCUUUUGCGUUGCGAUGUCUUCUUAGAGGGACUGGCGGCUUUCAGCCGCACGAGAUUGAGCAAUAACAGGUCUGUGAUGCCCUUAGAUGUUCUGGGCUGCACACGCGCUACACUGAAGGGAUCAGCGUGUUUUCCCUUCCCGAGAGGGACGGGUAAACCGCUGAAACCCCUUCGUGGUAGGGAUCGGAGCUUGCAAUUAUUCUCCGUGAACCAGGAAUUCCCAGUAAGCGCAAGUCAUAAGCUUGCGUUGAUUACGUCCCUGCCCUUUGUACACACCGCCCGUCGCUACUACCGAUUGAACGUUUUAGUGAGGUAUUUGGACCGGGCCUCUGUUGGCUUCGCCGACGGUGCUGUCUGGAAAGACUCCCAAACUUGAGCGUUUAGAGGAGUAAA